GGAAAGGCGCGCGAUACAGGGUGACAGCCCCGUACACAAAAAUGCACAUGCUGUGAGCUCGAUGAGUAGGGCGGGACACGUGGUAUCCUGUCUGAAUAUGGGGGGACCAUCCUCCAAGGCUAAAUACUCCUGACUGACCGAUAGUGAACCAGUACCGUGAGGGAAAGGCGAAAAGAACCCCGGCGAGGGGAGUGAAAAAGAACCUGAAACCGUGUACGUACAAGCAGUGGGAGCACGCUUAGGCGUGUGACUGCGUACCUUUUGUAUAAUGGGUCAGCGACUUAUAUUCUGUAGCAAGGUUAACCGAAUAGGGGAGCCGAAGGGAAACCGAGUCUUAACUGGGCGUUAAGUUGCAGGGUAUAGACCCGAAACCCGGUGAUCUAGCCAUGGGCAGGUUGAAGGUUGGGUAACACUAACUGGAGGACCGAACCGACUAAUGUUGAAAAAUUAGCGGAUGACUUGUGGCUGGGGGUGAAAGGCCAAUCAAACCGGGAGAUAGCUGGUUCUCCCCGAAAGCUAUUUAGGUAGCGCCUCGUGAAUUCAUCUCCGGGGGUAGAGCACUGUUUCGGCAAGGGGGUCAUCCCGACUUACCAACCCGAUGCAAACUGCGAAUACCGGA
rnacentral:rRNA from 1 species